GUUAGGAAGACUCGUUGAUGCGUUUGGGUUGUAGCAAGGCUUUUUCUUUUUUUUUUUUUUAAUAUCUAGAAAAGGAAAACAAGAGCCCUCGGAUCUGAUUUUCGCUCCUCGUUCCUGUCCUGGUUCUUACUGUUUGUGUAUUUUAACGGCGAGAAGACGAGGGGAACAAAACCCGCCGAAUCCAUCCAUCACUGUGGGUGGUUUUAAUUUUUCGUUUUUCUCUUAAUUUUUUUAAACGACCGCUCUUCACAAUGAACAAACUGUAUCUCGGAAACCUCAGCGAGAACGCCGUCCCCUCGGACCUGGAAACUGUCUUCAAGGACGCCAAGAUCCCCGUGUCGGGACCCUUCCUGGUGAAGACCGGCUACGCGUUCGUGGACUGUCCGGACGAGAGCUGGGCCCUCAAGGCCAUCGAGGCGCUUUCAGGUAAAGUGGAACUGCAUGGGAAACUCAUAGAAGUUGAGCACUCGGUCCCAAAAAGGCAAAGGAUUCGGAAACUUCAGAUCCGAAAUAUCCCGCCUCACUUACAGUGGGAGGUGCUGGAUAGUUUACUAGUCCAGUAUGGAGUGGUGGAAAGCUGUGAGCAAGUGAACACUGACUCGGAAACUGCAGUCGUAAACGUGACCUAUUCCAGUAAGGACCAAGCUAGACAAGCUUUAGACAAACUGAAUGGAUUCCAGUUGGAGAACUUCGUGUUGAAAGUGGCCUACAUCCCUGAUGAAAUGGCUGCCCAGCAGAACCCCUUGCAGCAGCCCCGAGGUCGCCGUGGGUUUGGGCACAGGGGCUCAUCGAGGCAGGGGUCUCCAGGAUCAGCAUCUAAGCAGAAACCGUGUGACUUGCCUCUCCGCCUGUUAGUUCCCACCCAAUUUGUUGGAGCCAUUAUAGGAAAAGAAGGUGCUACCAUUCGGAACAUCACCAAGCAGACCCAGUCAAAAAUCGAUGUCCAUCGUAAAGAGAAUGCAGGUGCUGCUGAGAAGUCGAUUACUAUCCUCUCUACCCCUGAAGGCACCUCUGCGGCUUGUAAGUCUAUUCUGGAGAUUAUGCAUAAGGAAGCUCAAGAUAUAAAAUUCACAGAAGAGAUUCCCCUGAAGAUUUUAGCCCAUAAUAACUUUGUAGGCCGUCUUAUUGGUAAGGAAGGAAGAAACCUUAAAAAAAUCGAGCAAGACACAGACACUAAAAUCACGAUAUCUCCAUUGCAGGAAUUGACGCUGUAUAAUCCGGAGCGCACCAUUACAAUCAAAGGCAAUGUUGAAACAUGUGCCAAAGCUGAGGAAGAGAUAAUGAAGAAAAUCAGGGAGUCUUAUGAAAACGAUAUUGCUUCUAUGAAUCUUCAAGCGCAUUUAAUUCCUGGGUUAAAUCUGAAUGCCUUGGGUCUGUUCCCACCCACUUCAGGGAUGCCGCCUCCCACCUCAGGGCCCCCUUCAGCUAUGACUCCUCCUUACCCACAGUUUGAGCAAUCAGAAACAGAGACUGUUCAUCUGUUUAUCCCAGCUUUAUCUGUUGGUGCCAUUAUCGGCAAGCAGGGGCAGCAUAUCAAACAGCUUUCUCGCUUUGCAGGAGCUUCUAUUAAGAUCGCUCCAGCUGAAGCACCAGAUGCUAAAGUGAGGAUGGUGAUUAUCACCGGGCCACCAGAGGCUCAGUUCAAGGUAUGUGCUCUAGAGUCUAUGGACAGGUAACAAAUGAACAGAUGUGGCAAAUGUUAAUGCCACCUUUUCAGAAACUCCAUAACCUAGCUUCUCCCUUAAAUAUAUCUAAUACUCAGGAGAAAGAAUCUCUCAAUGGAAAUUCAUAAGACUAAGAACAGAGCAAAAACAUACCCAAAGUUGCAUUUCAAAAAUUAACCAAAAGUCUUUGAUUUUGAGAGUUCUGCAUUGGUUGUUGGGUUUACCUAUCUCCCAAAGGAGAAUGUGCUCAACACCUCAUUAUCACAUGUGCAGGUGAGACCUUAAGAAUGAAAUUUAUAAACCCAUCUGGUUAAUAUGCCUUGGAAAACUUGUUCCCAAAUUUUUCCUCUUGUCCCUGAAAAGCCUUAACCUUGAAAUACAAUGCCCCCUUUUCGUCUCACCCUUGGAUUAACUCUCUUAGCCCUUGUCUAUAGUCUCUCCACAAAUCACUCUAAUCCUUUGAAUUUUAGAGGAAUAAAUGGCAGGCAGGCUUGUGGCAUCUGUAAUGGUAUGAACCACUGCUCAUGUUUAUUGGGGUGUGGGGCUUUUGGGGCUGGGCUGCCUCACAUUGUCUACUGAGAGGUGGUACAGCAGUGAUGAAGAGCAGAGACGUGGCAGCCAGGCUGCUGGUUCAAAUCCUAGCUCUACUAUUUUACUAGCUGUGUGACCUUGGCAAGUUACUUAGCCCCUCUCUGGCUAGUUCCUUAUCUGUAAAAUGGCGUUAGGAGCACCUACAAGGUUUAAAGGAGGUUAUAAGGUUUAAAAAAAUCCAUAAAGUGCUUAAAACAGUGCCUGACACAUAGGAAGCACAAUAUAAAUGUGGUGGUGGUGGUGGUUCAGCAGACUCUGGGUAGAUCCAACUAAGACUCUGCCAAAUCCUCAAGUUCACAAAUAAGACAUACUUUUGAGCAUAUGAUUUCUCCCAUAAAACUUUGUACAGGUGUCUUGUUUGCCAUAGGUAAAAGCAGCUACUGAAUUGGGAUGAAGCUAAUUUAUCCAAAACCCAUGUCUUGUUCCUACCACUUAGCAGCUGUGUAAUAGGACAACUCUUUAAGCUUAAGCCUUAGUUCUCUUAGCUCUAAAAUGUGGCUAGUAAUAGUGCCUACCUAUCCCCUCCUCCCCGCUUCUUAAUCACUUUCUUUCAUCUCUAUUUCCUAUGGGCCAUUUUUCACUAAAAAUCCAAAGUUUUUUUUCCACUUCAUUUACAGGAAGAACAGGAAACAAAAGGAGGUGCUUUGAGAUGUGGGUGCAGUUGGCUAGGCUCAAACUCAGGCUCAGGGAAGAAUUUAUGGAAAAAUUAAAGAAGAAAACUUCGUUAGUCCUAAAGAAGAGGUGAAACUUGAAGCUCAUAUCAGAGUGCCAUCCUUUGCUGCUGGCAGAGUUAU